rnacentral:rRNA from 1 species
AUGGGUGGCGGUGGCCUUGGCGCCAUGGGUGGCAUGGGUGGCUUCGGAGGUAUCAUGGGCGGUUUAGGUGCCAUGGGAGGCAUGGGUGGCUUUGGAGCACCCCCGGACGCUAUGGCCGCCAUGGGAGGCAUGAGUUUUGCUUCUUUCAUGAGAGGCAUGGGUGCACCUCCGGCCGCCAUGGGCGGAAUGUCUUUCGAUGUGCCUCCUCACACACAUUCCCAUGAAGAUGCCGUUAAAGAUCUUGCCAACACCGUCGGAGCUUCACGUGAUGCGGUGCAUGAUGAGGAGAGGGAGGAAGAUUCAUCUUCGGAGGCGGAAGAAUCGUCUUUCGAAGAUGAGGACGAAGAUGAGGAAGAGGAUUGA